rnacentral:rRNA from 1 species
AUUGAACGCUGGCGGCAUGCCUUACACAUGCAAGUCGAACGGCAGCACGGGAGCAAUCCUGGUGGCGAGUGGCGAACGGGUGAGUAAAGUAUCGGAGCGUGCCCAGUCGUGGGGGAUAACGUAGCGAAAGUUACGCUAAUACCGCAUACGAUCUAUGGAUGAAAGCGGGGGAUCGCAAGACCUCGCGCGAUUGGAGCGGCCGAUAUCAGAUUAGGUAGUUGGUGGGGUAAAGGCUCACCAAGCCGACGAUCUGUAGCUGGUCUGAGAGGACGACCAGCCACACUGGGACUGAGACACGGCCCAGACUCCUACGGGAGGCAGCAGUGGGGAAUUUUGGACAAUGGGCGAAAGCCUGAUCCAGCCAUGCCGCGUGCAGGAUGAAGGCCUUCGGGUUGUAAACUGCUUUUGUACGGAACGAAAAGCCCCGGGUUAAUACCCUGGGGUCAUGACGGUACCGUAAGAAUAAGCACCGGCUAACUACGUGCCAGCAGCCGCCGUAA